rnacentral:rRNA from 1 species
CAAACUCCUACGGGAGGCAGCAGUAGGGAAUCUUCCGCAAUGGACGAAAGUCUGACGGAGCAACGCCGCGUGAGUGAUGAAGGUUUUCGGAUCGUAAAACUCUGUUGUUAGGGAAGAACAAGUACCGUUCGAAUAGGGCGGUACCUUGACGGUACCUAACCAGAAAGCCACGGCUAACUACGUGCCAGCAGCCGCGGUAAUACGUAGGUGGCAAGCGUUGUCCGGAAUUAUUGGGCGUAAAGCGCGCGCAGGCGGUUUCUUAAGUCUGAUGUGAAAGCCCCCGGCUCAACCGGGGAGGGUCAUUGGAAACUGGGGAACUUGAGUGCAGAAAAGGAGAGUGGAAUUCCACGUGUAGCGGUGAAAUGCGUAAAGAUGUGGAGGAACACCAGUGGCGAAGGCGACUCUCUGGUCUGUAACUGACGCUGAGGCGCGAAAGCGUGGGGAGCGAACAGGAUUAAUACCCUGGUAGUCCACGCCGUAAACGAUGAGUGCUAAGUGUUAGAGGGUUUCCGCCCUUUAGUGCUGCAGAAACGCAUUAACACUCCGCCUGGGGAGUACGGUCGCAAACUGAACUCAAGGAAUUGACGGGGCCCGCACAGCGGUGGAACAGUGGUUUAAUUCGAACAACGCGAAAACCUUACCAGGUCUUGACAUCCUCUGACAACCCUAGAGAUAGGGCUUCCCCUUCGGGGGCAGAGUGACAGGUGGUGCAUGGUUGUCGUCAGCUCGUGUCGUGAGAUGUUGGGUUAAGUCCCGCAACGAGCGCAACCCUUGAUCUUAGUUGCCAGCAUUCAGUUGGGCACUCUAAGGUGACUGCCGGUGACAAACCGGAGGAAGGUGGGGAUGACGUCAAAUCAUCAUGCCCCUUAUGACCUGGGCUACACACGUGCUACAAUGGGCAGAACAAAGGGCAGCGAAGCCGCGAGGCUAAGCCAAUCCCACAAAUCUGUUCUCAGUUCGGAUCGCAGUCUGCAACUCGACUGCGUGAAGCUGGAAUCGCUAGUAAUCGCGGAUCAGCAUGCCGCGGUGAAUACGUUCCCGGGCCUUGUACACACCGCCCGUCACACCACGAGAGUUUGUAACAC